ACGAACGCUGGCGGCGUGCUUAACACAUGCACGUCGAACGGAAAGGCCCUGCUUUUGUGGGGUGCUCGAGUGGCGAACGGGUGAGUAACACGUGAGUAACCUGCCCUUGACUUUGGGAUAACUUCAGGAAACUGGGGCUAAUACCGGAUAGGAGCUCCUGCUGCAUGGUGGGGGUUGGAAAGUUUCGGCGGUUGGGGAUGGACUCGCGGCUUAUCAGCUUGUUGGUGGGGUAGUGGCUUACCAAGGCUUUGACGGGUAGCCGGCCUGAGAGGGUGACCGGCCACAUUGGGACUGAGAUACGGCCCAGACUCCUACGGGAGGCAGCAGUGGGGAAUAUUGCACAAUGGGCGGAAGCCUGAUGCAGCAACGCCGCGUGCGGGAUGACGGCCUUCGGGUUGUAAACCGCUUUCGCCUGUGACGAAGGGUGAGUGACGGUAAUGGGUAAAGAAGCACCGGCUAACUACGUG
rnacentral:rRNA from 1 species